rnacentral:rRNA from 1 species
AGGAAGGUGGGGAUGACGUCAAAUCAUCAUGCCCCUUAUGACUUGGGCUACACACGUGCUACAAUGGCGUAAACAAAGUGAAGCGAGAGUGUGAGCUUAAGCAAAUCACAAAAAUAACGUCUCAGUUCGGAUUGUAGUCUGCAACUCGACUACAUGAAGCUGGAAUCGCUAGUAAUCGCAGAUCAGAAUGCUGCGGUGAAUACGUUCCCGGGUCUUGUACACACCGCCCGUCACACCAUGGGAGUCGGAAAUGCCCGAAGUCGGUGACCUAACGUAAGAAGGAGCCGCC